UACAGAGGAGCCAAGCGUUGUCCGGAUUGACUGGGCGUAAAGCGCACGCAGGCGGUUGCGCGCGUGGGGUGUGAAAUCUGGCCGCUUAACGGCCAGGCGCCAUCCCAUACGGCGCGACUGGAGCGAUGCAGAGGUCGGUGGAAUUGCCGGUGUAGUGGUGAAAUUCGUAGAUAUUGGGUGGAACACCGGUGGCGAAAGCGGCUCUCUGGUCCGGACCUGACGCUGAGGCGCGAAAGCGUGGGGAGCAAACAGG
rnacentral:rRNA from 1 species